UGGCGCCAUUAAUAAUCUCUCGCCUCCUCCUCAACCCGAUAGCUUCGCUGCCAUCCACCCACCCUUCGCCUUCCCUGCUCUGCACUGCGUGCCGUCGUCGUAGCUGAGGUGAGCCAUGGCUGUCGCCGGAAGCAGAGCGUCCGCGGCCGCGGCGUGCCUCCUCCUCGCCGCCGCCGUCGCCCUCGCGGCGGUGGCGGAC
rnacentral:lncRNA from 1 species